UACGAACCGUCCAAACGUUUUUCGGAUUCAUUGGGCUUAAAGGGUACGCAGGCGGUGCUGGUAGUCGGGUGUGAAAUCCCUCGGCUCAACCGAGGAACUGCGCCCGAUACUGCAGUGAUCGAGGGAGACAGAGGUAAGCGGAACUGAUGGUGGAGCGGUGAAAUGCGUUGAUAUCAUCAGGAACACCAGUGGCGAAAGCGGCUUACUGGGUCUCUUCUGACGCUGAGGUACGAAAGCUAGGGUAGCGAACGGG
rnacentral:misc_RNA from 1 species